CAACCCUCAAGCACUGCUUGGUGUUGGGGCUCUACGUCUUUGUAGGCCCUCAAAUUCAGUGGCGGACUCGCUAUGGCUCCGAGUGCAGUAAUCUCUCUCGCUCUGGACGCCUGGUGGGUGCUUGCCGUGAAACCCCAAUUUAUCGU
rnacentral:misc_RNA from 1 species